UGCAGUUUGUCACAAGUGCUUCAUUUUUAGCCACUGUCUAUGCUGACUACCUUACUUCAUCUCGUACGAACUUGAGAUGUAAUUCAGGCAAUGUUGCCCCGGCUGAACUUCUCUCCCUUGCAAAGUCUCAGGUAAUUCAACUCCUGCAUUUCAGUUCAUAUACGAGAAAGUAAGUUUUAAAGUAUAUCAGUGUGGUCUCAAUACUUGACAUGUGUAAUCUUCAGGUGGACUACCUUCUUGGGAACAACCCAAGAGCAACUAGUUACAUGGUGGGCUAUGGAAACAACUUCCCACAAAGGGUUCAUCACCGAGGUUCAUCCAUUGUUUCAAUCAAGGCUAACCCUUCAUUUGUCAGCUGCCGUGGAGGUUAUGAUACUUGGUUUAGCAGCAAAAAGAGUGACCCCAACCUACUCACUGGAGCUCUUGUUGGUGGACCUGAUGCCUAUGAUGAUUUUGCUGAUGAAAGAGAUAAUUAUGAGCAGACAGAGCCAGCAACCUAUAACAAUGCUCCUCUCAUUGGUAUUCUAGCACGUCUGAGUGGUCGCGGUGGCUAUAACCAGCUUCUUCCAGGUAUUGCCAUCAUUAUUCUUACUUUGUGUCCUUUUCUGUUCACACUCUUGGUGAUAAUGUAGUAAUCAGCUUUAGUUUCUUCCUUGUAGUUGUUCCCGCUCCUAAGCCUAUUGCUGUCAAGCCUCAACCAUCCCCCAAUACCAAGACAACUCCAUCUCCAGGUACUGUUUGGCUAGUCUUCACUAAUUCACUUGCACGUUGUAUAUUGCUUAAUUAAC
rnacentral:lncRNA from 1 species